rnacentral:lncRNA from 1 species
UUUAUUUUCAAUAGAACAUUGAUACAAAGAAAAGUAAAAAGAAAGCAAUAGUAACAAGUAAUAAUAACCACACAAUAAUAAAAAAACAAGGUGAAAAGAACAAUAAUAGAAUACAGGACUAGCAUUGAUACUGCUGGUUUUCUACCUUAAACAUCAACUCCACACCUUCCCGUUAAGGUUAAGGAUGAUGUCCUCGAUUUUUUUCUUCUCGUCAAAUAUGAUAAUAUUUUGCUUUUGAAUAAUUUUUCUAGUAAUAUAAUUGGUUGGUUACUUGAACUUUCGUUUUGUCGGUGAGAGUCCCUUUUCUAAUCUCCAUCCCUGGUUACCGUAAAUUUUCCGCCGCCGGCGAAUCCGCUUGUUUCUAUAAAUACACAAAUCUAUAUACCAAAAGCAUUAUAAUUUUAAAAAAGUUAAGAGUAUAUACUAUAUAACCUCAGUAUCUGCAAACGACGGUUUCAAUUCUUCUCUCUAUCUAUAAAACGGGAAAUUGUGACCUAAGCACUUGCUCUGUUUUCUUCUGCUCCUUUUGUGGGAACGCAUUUUUUGCGUGAAGUUAUUUUGGAAAAGCCUUAAAAAUUCUAGAAUGGAGAUGCUACAGUACUGGCUUGUGUUUCUCUAACACUAAAUUUUUUUAGGGUUUCAUAUUUGGAAGAGUUAGGUUUUAGGUUUCUUUUUGGGAGAAGACGUGCGGUGAAUGGCGGUGGAGUAUAGAUGUUGCAAGACAGGGUUCUUCAUACAUAUUUUGAUAAUUAUUUUUC